rnacentral:rRNA from 1 species
CCUGGCUCAGGAUGAACGCUGGCGGCGUGCCUAAUACAUGCAAGUCGAGCGAAUGGAUUGAGAGCUUGCUCUCAWGAAGUUAGCGGCGGACGGGUGAGUAACACGUGGGUAACCUGCCCAUAAGACUGGGAUAACUCCGGGAAACCGGGGCUAAUACCGGAUAAYAUUUUGAACUGCAUGGUUCGAAAUUGAAAGGCGGCUUCGGCUGUCACUUAUGGAUGGACCCGCGUCGCAUUAGCUAGUUGGUGAGGUAACGGCUCACCAAGGCAACGAUGCGUAGCCGACCUGAGAGGGUGAUCGGCCACACUGGGACUGAGACACGGCCCAGACUCCUACGGGAGGCAGCAGUAGGGAAUCUUCCGCAAUGGACGAAAGUCUGACGGAGCAACGCCGCGUGAGUGAUGAAGGCUUUCGGGUCGUAAAACUCUGUUGUUAGGGAAGAACAAGUGCUAGUUGAAUAAGCUGGCACCUUGACGGUACCUAACCAGAAAGCCACGGCUAACU